GUUUUCCAUUUGACUCAGUUGGAAAAACAUCCGACUAUGGUUCGGUAAGAUUCGGGUUCGAGUCCCGGUGAAGACA